GACGAACGCUGGCGGCGUGCUUAACACAUGCAAGUCGAACGGAAAGGCCCUGCUUUUGUGGGGUGCUCGAGUGGCGAACGGGUGAGUAACACGUGAGUAACCUGCCCUUGACUUUGGGAUAACUUCAGGAAACUGGGGCUAAUACCGGAUAGGAGCUCCUGCCGCAUGGUGGGGGUUGGAAAGUUUCGGCGGUUGGGGAUGGACUCGCGGCUUAUCAGCUUGUUGGUGGGGUAGUGGCUUACCAAGGCUUUGACGGGUAGCCGGCCUGAGAGGGUGACCGGCCACAUUGGGACUGAGAUACGGCCCAGACUCCUACGGGAGGCAACAGUGGGGAAUAUUGCACAAUGGGCGGAAGCCUGAUGCAGCAACGCCGCGUGCGGGAUGACGGCCUUCGGGUUGCAAACCGCUUUCGCCUGUGACGAAGCGUGAGUGACGGUAAUGGGUAAAGAAGCACCGGCUAACUACGU
rnacentral:rRNA from 1 species